rnacentral:SRP_RNA from 1 species
GCUGGGCAUGGUGGUGCAUGCCUGUUGUCCCAGCUACGCAGGAAGCUGAGGUAGGAGGAUCGCUUGAGCCUGGGAGGUCAAGGCUGCAGUGAGCCAAGAAUGUGCUACUGCACUCCAGCCUGGGCAAUACAGUGAGACCUUGUCUCAA